rnacentral:rRNA from 1 species
CUACGGGUGGCUGCAGUGAGGAAUAUUGCACAAUGGGGGGAACCCUGAUGCAGCAACGCCGCGUGGAGGAUGACGCAUUUCGGUGUGUAAACUCCUCUUAUACGUCAAGAAAAUGACGGUAGCAUAUGAAUAAGCACCGGCUAACUCCGUGCCAGCAGCCGCGGUAAUACGGAGGGUGCAAGCGUUACUCGGAAUCACUGGGCGUAAAGGACGCGUAGGCGGGUUGGAAAGUCAGGUGUGAAAUCCUACAGCUUAACUGUAGAACUGCACUUGAAACUUCUAAUCUAGAGUAUGGGAGGGGGAGAUGGAAUUAGUGGUGUAGGGGUAAAAUCCGUAGAUAUCACUAGGAAUACCUAAAGCGAAGGCGAUCUCCUGGAACAUUACUGACGCUAAGGCGUGAAAGCGUGGGGAGCAAACAGGAUUAGAUACCCGUGUAGUC